CUCAGUAACACGUGGAUAACCUACCCUGGAGUGGGGGAUAAUCUCGGAAAACUGAGGAUAAUACCCCAUAGAUCUUCGAUACUGGAAUGUGCCUAGGUUGAAAGCUACGGCGCUUCAGGAUGGGUCUGCGGCCUAUCAGGUUGUAGUGAGUGUAAAGGACUCACUAGCCGACGACGGGUACGGGCUGUGGGAGCAGUUGCCCGGAGAUGGACUCUGAGACACGAGUCCAGGCCCUACGGGGCGCAGCAGGCGCGAAAACUUCACAAUGCGCGGAAGCGCGAUGAGGGGAUUCCAAGUGCGUGCACUAUGUGUACGCUGUUUACUAGUCUAAAAAGCUAGUAGAGUAAGGGCUGGGUAAGACUGGUGCCAGCCGCCGCGGUAAUACCAGCGGCCCUAGUGGUGAUCGUUAUUAUUGGGCCUAAAGCGUCCGUAGCCGGUCCGGUAAAUCUCUGGGUAAAUCGUUGGGCUUAACUCAACGAAUUCUGGGGAGACUGCCGGACUUGGGACCGGGAGAGGUCGGAGGUACUCCAGGGGUAGGGGUGAAAUCCUGUAAUCCUUGGGGGACCACCGGUGGCGAAGGCGUCCGACCAGAACGGGUCCGACGGUAAGGGACGAAGCCCUGGGGCGCGAACCGGAUUAGAUACCCGGGUAGUCCAGGGUGUAAACGCUGUGCGCUUGGUGUUGGGGGUCCUUCGUGGGCACCCAGUGCCGGAGAGAAGUUGUUAAGCGCACCGCCUGGGGAGUACGGUCGCAAGACUGAAACUAAAG
rnacentral:rRNA from 1 species